rnacentral:tRNA from 1 species
GAGAGUAUAGCUCAGUGACAGAGCGCUUGCCUAGCAAGCACAAGGUCCUGGGUUCAACCCCCAGUACCUCCA